rnacentral:rRNA from 1 species
CGACGCCGCGUGAGUGAUGAAGCCCUUCGGGGUGUAAAGCUCUUUCGACAGGAACGAUAAUGACGGUACCUGAAGAAGAAGCUGCGGCUAACUACGUGCCAGCAGCCGCGGUAAUACGUAGGCAGCAAGCGUUGUUCGGAAUUACUGGGCGUAAAGAGUGUGUAGGCGGUGCUCUAAGUUUGGUGUGAAAUCUCCCGGCUCAACCGGGAGGCUGCAUCGAAUACUGGAAUGCUAGAGGGUGGGAGAGGUAAGCGGAAUUCCUGGUGUAGCGGUGAAAUGCGUAGAUAUCAGGAGGAACACCUGUGGUGUAGACAGCUUACUGGACCACUUCUGACGCUGAGACACGAAAGCGUGGGUAGCAAACAGGAUUAGAUACCCUGGUAGUCCACGCCCUAAACGAUGCAUACUUGGUGUGGGCCAUUCAUUUGGUCAGUGCCGGAGCUAACGCGUUAAGUAUGCCGCCUGGGGAGUACGGUCGCAAGGCUG